GCAAACCCAGAGAAAUCUGGCGGCGCAAAGCUAUAGGGACUAAACCGUAAGGUAUGUCAGCCAGUUGCCGU
rnacentral:ncRNA from 1 species